rnacentral:lncRNA from 1 species
AGAUAAUCUGUACAACAAACUCCCAUGACACAUGUUUACCUAUAUAAAAAACCUGCAUAUGUACCCCUGACUUAAAAAUACAAGUUAAAAAAACUUAAGAUGUUUUUAUGUACGAUUUCAAGAGAAGUUAAAAGAUAUGAACAACAACAAUAGCAAUAACAAAACAAUAAUAAAACCUUUUUUUCACAUUAAAAAAUCUCCCUUUUAGGAUAGAUGUGAUAUUUGAAAGAGGAGUGGCAUUUUGAUAUUUAGGUUAUCGAGCUAAUCUAAAAAUUCCUAGCUACUAACCUAGGAAAGUAAGUGUUUACUAUGUAGGUAUGAGAAGACUGUUUACUGAAAAACUAUUAUAAACUCCCAGAUCAGCAGAAUUUUAUGUUUGCUUCAGGGUGAUCUUAUGUUUUUGUGGACCUGGGAUGAUUAUAGAGGGAUAUGAACAUUGUGUGAAACAGAGGUAGUUCUGGAGGUGAUUCUGAAAAGUGUGUCAAAGUCUCAUAAAUGUGCAAAAUAAUUGGGUUUUUAUUGAAUCAGAUGGGUUGGUUCAUUUAAUGGAAAUGCCCUGAGGAAGGGCAAUCCAAAGUCGAAUUGAGAUUGACAUUUUGAAAAAGAGCAGUAAGUGUUGAAUAUAGCCUGGGGAUUCAUCACUCUCUAAGUUCUAUUAAUAUGCUCAUUUAACCAAUUACAAGGUGGCAGAGUUUAAUGAUUGCACAGAGAAUCACUUAUGUGGCAAUGAAAAUGAAGCGCUAAGUCAGUUGUUCUCAGACUGGCUGAACAUUACAAUCACCUGGGGAGCCUUGAAAAGUCCCCCGGCCUCAUAUCAGUUACAUCAGAGUCUCCGGGAUGGGGACAAGGCCUCUGCACUGGCGAUGCCAGUGUGCAUCUGUGGGUGACAAACACUGUACCAAGUAGAGAAAACGGCAGAUGCUACCCGCAGGCCUCUCUUCCUGUCAUUAGAGGCAUAAAUGACAUUACUGGGGUGGGGUGAGAGUGCAUAAUUACAGUGGAGUUCUGGAAUUGAGAAGACCUUCUAAAAGUUAGAACACGAGGUUUCCUAAAGCAUUUUCCUUUUUAGAGAAUUUUUGGGAGAGGGGUUUAUUAUUACAAAUCUUGUUUUAUAGAGUGUCUCAGAGGUGAUUCAUAAAAUUAGGGACUCUAAGAUAAUGAAAUUUAACGUACCUGUAAGUUUCUCUCUAUAGCUCUGGUAUAGGCAGGAAUGCACUAAAUUUCUACUUGUGUGCCAGCUCCAUCUGAUGGGUGGUGACUUCCAUGGGGAUGGCACGAGAGAGAUUCUGAGGCCAGGUCCAGCUGUGGCAGAAUGAGUUCUGGGGUUGCUCAUGACAUCUGCUAUGGAGGUGGAAGUGAACUGUGGAAAUAGUGAUGCCACAUUUUUCCUGCCUUAGAUAUCAUGAAAAGUCCUGGAGUUCUAAAUUAGAAAGGGAUAAAUGAGAAUUCCAGUUCUGCCUCUGAGAUGAUUUAAAAAUAUGUCGUAAAUUCUCUGAUGUACUUCCCCUAAAAAAAUGGAGUCGACUUCUUCCAUUGAAAGUGGGCUGGACUUAAUGAUUUUCUCCUAAACAAUAGAAUGUGAUUGAGGUGACACUAUGUGGCUUCCAAGGCUGAAUUAUAGAGGGAUAUGAAAAAGGAUAUCUAAAAAUGAUAUCUAUUAGUUUAUCUAAAAAGGAUAAACUUCUAUUUAGCUCUCUGAAUUUUGGAUCAUUCACUCUGAGGGAAGCCAGCUGCCAUGACAUGAGGAUACUCAAGCAGCCUGUGGAGUGGCCCAUAUGGAGUGUGACUGAGGCCUCCCAGCAACAGCCAGUGUCAGCAUGCCAGCUAUGUGAGUGAGCUACUUUGGAAGCAGAUCCUCCAUCCCCAGUCAAGCCUUCCAAUGACUGUGGUCCCAGUUGACAUCCUGACUGCAACCUCAUGAGAAAUCCUAAGCUAGAAUCACCCAUCCAAGGCAUUUUCAAACUUCUGAUCCACAGAGACUGUGUGAUGCAAUUAAUGCUUAUUAUCGAUUUAAGCUAGAAAGUUUUGGAGUAAUUCAUAAUACAGCAAUACAUAAUGAAUUCAGCUAUUUGGUAGCUUUGUUCUCUAAGUUUUGGGUUCCCCUUCUGUAAAAUGGAGAUAAGUAUUUUAUAAUGUAGUUUUGAAGAUAAAAUGAGUUAAUAGUAAAGCCUAUCAUUGACUGAGUCCAUGUAAAUACUAUUACACGAUCUUGUACUGUGCUAGCUUGUGAAUUAACGAGGGUGUUACAGACAACAGCCUUUGGAACUCAGGCCAACCUACACAAGCAAUCCCUAAGGAUUGGGAAAGGGUGGUGUUUUCAGUGAUGGUUGUGGUCUUCUUGCAUUGUGUAAAGUCUGUUUCUACCAAUGUGGUCUUUCUUAAUAGGCAUUAAAUUUGAAUGUUAUCUUCCACAUGUGUAGAAAUUCCUUCAUUGUGAGAAUUCAGAGGGGUGGCAUUUAGGGCAGUUCGAUCCCCUUCAUUAUGAGAACAAGGAACCAUCAUGGGAUGACUCAGGAUCUGGGAAGCAGUGUUGUCUACAGCCUUGGUUUAUUUUUUAUUUUUUAUUUGGGAAGACCAGGAUUCAAAUAUUAGCCUUUCCCAUUGUCUAUGUUGUUUUGGCCAAAUUACCAACCUCUCUGAGCGUCUAGUAUUUCAUGUAUGAAAUGUGACUAGUAAUACCUACUUUAUAAGGCUGUUGUGAGUUGUAUUGAAUUUAAGUAUGAAAGAGUAUCCAGUACAGUGUUGGUAUUUAAUAAAUGGUCAAUAGAG